rnacentral:rRNA from 1 species
GAAUUUGAUCGUGGCUCAGGAUGAACGCUAGCUACAGGCUUAACACAUGCAAGUCGAGGGGCAUCAGGAAGAAAGCUUGCUUUCUUUGCUGGCGACCGGCGCACGGGUGAGUAACACGUAUCCAACCUGCCCUUUACUCGGGGAUAGCCUUUCGAAAGAAAGAUUAAUAUCCGAUAGCAUAUAUUUCCCGCACGGGUUUUAUAUUAAAGAAUUCGGUAUGAGAUGGGAUGCGUUCCAUUAGUUGUGGGGGUAACGCCACCAGACUACGAUGGAUAGGGUUCUGAGAGGAAGGUCCCCCAAUUGGAACUGAGACACGGUCCAAACUCCUACGGGAGCAGCAGUGA